AAAGAACGUAGCGAAAUUCGAUGAUUACUUGCAGUCUGUCAAUUGCCAGGAAUCUCCGGAACCACUCGCAGUCUCCUUGAAACGCAAAACAAAAAAAAACUGUGCGCCCCAAGCUUCUGCCGCGCCCCCUCAGGCACUCUGCCUCGCUCGCGUCCUGUCACAAAUCGUCGUCCCCCAAUCCUCUUGAGGAUAUGGGACAGAAGCUGAUCUCCCGUGUGUUACCUCGCCAACAACGUUGCCAAAAUCGACCCUCAAUACCUUCAUAGAGCAGUCUGACAUGCGGUGUGUAAUUUAAUUCUCGUCAUAUUGUCAGACGUUCCGGUCCAAAAACUCUUGAUGACCCAAAGCACUCAACGCCGACCCCGGGUCAGGCGGGAUCACCCGCUUAUUUUAAGCAUAUCAAUAAGCGGUGGAAAAGAAACUAACAAGAUUCCCUUAGUAACGGCGAGCGAACCGGAAAGAGCCCAGCUUGAAAAAAGGACGUCUUCGGCGUUCGAAAUGUAGUCUGGAGAAGCCUCCUCAGCGACGGACCGGACCCAAGUUCCCUGGAAAGAGGCGCCAGAGAGCUGUGAGAGCCCCGUCGUGCCCUGACCCUGUCGCACCACGAUGCGCUGUCUACGAGUCUGUUUGUUUGGGAAUGCAGCACCAAUCGGGCGGUAAAUUCCUUCCAAGGCUAAAUAUGGGCUAGAGACCGAUAGCGAACACACACCCGACAGUAAAGAUGCAAAAGACUUUGAACUAAAACCCAAAGAGUCUUACGAAAUUCAGAGAGCGGUCCCAUGCUGGCCGCAUUGCGUUCGCUGUCGAUGCCGAACGAAGCAAUACCCGUCCGCUACCGAUCUCGAAUCUCCGUCGGCGUCAUGGACCGACGCUGAUUAAUGUGGUGACCUAAGCCGGGCUUUUGUUACGCCAGCGGAGACGUCGCUGCCUAAAUCGUGAUCUGCAGCACACGCCUCAAAGCGUGCCUCGGCAUCUGCGUGCUCAGGCGUCGGCCUGUGGCUCCCCAUUCGACCCGUCUGAAACACGGACCAAGGACGCUGACAUGUGUGCGAGUAAACGGGCGAGUAAACCCGCAAGGAGCAAGGAAGCCUCGCAUUUCUGGAUCCCUCAUGGGUGCACAGCCGAUCGACCUUGAUUUUCUGAGAAGGUUUGGAGUGUGAGCAUGCCUGUCGGAACCCGAAAGAUGGUGAACAAUGCCUGAGCGGGGCAAAGACAGAGGAAACUCUGGUGGAGGACCGCAGCGAUACUGAAGUGCAAAUAGUUCGUCUGAAUUGGGUAUAGGGGAGAAAGACUAAACGAACCAUCUAGUAGCUGGCUUCCUCCGAAGUUUCCCUCAGUAUAGCUGGAGCUCGGAAAGGAGUUCUAUAGGGUAAAGUCAAUGAUUAGAGGCAUUGUGGACGCAAUGUCCUCGACUUAUUCUCAAACUUUAAAUACGUAGGACGGGGUGGCUGCAUUGUUGAGCCAUCCCACGAAAUCCGGAUCCGCAACUGCCCGACUGCCGCGCAUUUAACCGGAAAGCCGCGGUUCCUGGUGCACCUCUCACCAGGGUGUUUGUCGGUUAAGACAGCAGGACGGUUGUCAUUGAAGUCGAAAUCCGCUAAUGAGUGUGUAACAACUCACAUGCAGAAUCAACUAGCCCGAAAAUGGAUGGAGCUAAAGCGCGCGACCUAUACCAGGCCGUCGGGGCAAGAGACACGCCUCGAUGAGUAGGACCUAGCGGCAUCCCCGCGGUUGCUGCAAAACUCCUAAGGGCAACGAGCACCGGCGCGACUACGGCCUGUCCGCCCUGCAAUCUAGGUUGUAUAAAAUAUUCAAAUGAUAACUUUGAAGGCCGAAGAAGGGAAAGGGUUCCAUUUGAACGGCACUUUCACAUGUGUUAGUCGAUCGUAAGAGUCGGUGGAAACCCUUCUGAUAGCUCUUAUGCGCUAACUUCGAAAGGGUAUCCGUUUAAAAUUCCGGAACCCGGACGUAGUGAGCCCGUGUUGAGGCCAACCUGAGAUCCCGGAGAGUCGCCCCGGGACAAUCUACGAAAGAUUAUCUUAUUCGUUAACCAGCCUGACUGGAAACGUAGGUGCGCUUAUGGGCCAAUCCAGCGCGUGAAGAGACGAGUGCGUGGUCUAUCGGUCGGCACACUCCGGGACUUUAAAUUCUAUAUCUAUCUCCGUCGUAUUAACUGCAUCAGUCUAAGUGAACAGUGGUCGAUGGAAUAAGGAAGCCAGAAAAUGAUGCGGGGAAAAUGGAGGUAACCUCUUCUGUGAGGUAAUUGCUCGAGCUGGCUGGGUGGUCAGUUCAACUGACCUGUUGGGGCCUGCUUAGCUCUAACCUGGCGAGAGCUGACGCUCGUGUCGCGCCGGAGGACCUGGAACGGAAUCUUGGAGAUCUUCGUCCGUCAUGGGCGCUUCGAACAGAACUAACUUACGACAAGGGGACUAUGACCUGUAAUUAAACAAGCACCAUUGGAUUGGUCUGGAUGUAAACGAUGUUGAUUUCUGAUGCUUGAAUGUCAAUGAAGAAUUAACAAGCGGGGCUAAAGACUCGGAGCUCAGUAAAACUAUGACAUCUUUAAGUAGCCAAAUGCGCUGUCAACUAUCAGUGACGCCGAUGAAUGAUAACGGAUUUCACCUGUCCUUCUCUAACUAUACAGGAAAAAGAGAAGGGCUUGGAAAUCAGGGGGGAAACAGAAACACCUGUUGAGCUUGGAUCUAGUCCGACUUUGUGAAAUGACUGAGAGGUGUAGAAUAAGAGGGAGUGGGAAGUUAAACCACUACCUUUUUAGUUAUUUUACUACCUCCUUGAAUCACGGAGCCCGGUAUACAACUUCUUUAACAAGACCUGUUUGGCGGGUGAUCAGGGGUGAGAACAUUGUAGGGUGGAGUUUGCGGCCUGGGCAUCUUUAAAAGCAUAAAGAUGUUAAGAUGAGUCAAGAGAACACGAAAUUCGUGUGAACAAGGGGUAAGCUGUUGAUUCCUGAUUUUCAUACGAAUACCGAACGUGAAAGCGUGGCUACUAUAAUUCUUAGACUGGAAUUUAAGCUAGAGUCUAGAAAUACAAGAUAAACUGUUUGAUGGAGAAGCCGUAUAGCGAUUUGCUCUUUUGAUCCUUCCGAUGUCCGUUUUAUCAUUGUGAAGAGAAUCACAAGUUUUGCAUUGUUCCAAUACGGUGGAUAUAGUGACGGCUUUAGACGUCCGCUGAAAGGUUAGUUCUUACGCACACUCUACUGAUGCGGUCGGAAUGAGUAAUUCAUAUCAACGAAUGAACACUUGCAUUCGUACAAUUUGGCUCAUCGGUUGGUUGAACAAAGAGUGGGAGCUAGUAGGUGGAUUUAUGACCUGGAAGCUAUAAGUAAAUCCGCCGGCUAGAAGGACGCACCAGGCGAUGGAUAUAGAGUUCGAAAGAGUGUGUGUAAGUCGUUCCGCCUGAAGGUUCGGACUUGAAUCUAAAUUGACGUUAGUGGCGCGCUAGAAGCCCUUUGAACCGAGCUUAAAACGGAGGUAUUGU
rnacentral:rRNA from 1 species